GAUGAACGCUGGCGGCGUGCCUAAUACAUGCAAGUCGAGCGAACAGACGAGGAGCUUGCUCCUCUGUCGUUAGCGGCGGACGGGUGAGUAACACGUGGAUAACCUACCUAUAAGACUGGGAUAACUUCGGGAAACCGGAGCUAAUACCGGAUAAUAUAUUCAACCGCAUGGUUCAAUAGUGAAAGACGGUUUUGCUGUCACUUAUAGAUGGAUCCGCGCCGCAUUAGCUAGUUGGUAAGGUAACGGCUUACCAAGGCAACGAUGCGUAGCCGACCUGAGAGGGGGAUAGGCCACCCGGGAAGUGAGACACGCUCCAGACUACUGCGGGAGGGAGCAGUAGGGAAUCGUCCGCAAUGGGCGAAAGUCUGACGGAGCAACGGCGAGUGAGUGAGGAAGGUCUUCGGAUCGUAAAACUCUCUUAUUAGGGAAGAACAUAUGUGUAAGUAAAUAUGCACGUCUUGACGGUACCUAAUCAGAAAGCCACGGCUAACUACGUG
rnacentral:rRNA from 1 species